rnacentral:rRNA from 1 species
UGGGGAAUAUUGGACAAUGGGCGGAAGCCUGAUCCAGCCAUGCCGCGUGUGUGAAGAAGGCCUUUGGGUUGUAAAGCACUUUAAGCGAGGAGGAGGCUACUUGGAUUAAUACUCUAGGAUAGUGGACGUUACUCGCAGAAUAAGCACCGGCUAACUCUGUGCCAGCAGCCGCGGUAAUACAGAGGGUGCGAGCGUUAAUCGGAUUUACUGGGCGUAAAGCGUGCGUAGGCGGCUUCUUAAGUCGGAUGUGAAAUCCCUGAGCUUAACUUAGGAAUUGCAUUCGAUACUGGGAAGCUAGAGUAUGGGAGAGGAUGGUAGAAUUCCAGGUGUAGCGGUGAAAUGCGUAGAGAUCUGGAGGAAUACCGAUGGCGAAGGCAGCCAUCUGGCCUAAUACUGACGCUGAGGUACGAAAGCAUGGGGAGCGAACAGG